rnacentral:lncRNA from 1 species
UCCCAAAAAGAAAAAAACUAGACACCCUAUUGAAGUGCCUUUGGCAAUUUUUAUUAUUCAAUAUUGUCCAAUAACAAGCUGACCGCUGCCAAAAUGAUGCAAGUUCAAAACCUUGUCAAAAAAAGAAAUAAUACUGUACCUUCACAAUUAAUUACAUCUAUUUCCCUGUAUCCUGAGCCGAUGUUAGUUGCUGCACCAGCCUCAAUCUUCUGCUGUCCUGUCUGUGUAUGGAGUCAGGUCAUUAUAACAUCUAUUGAAUGGAUUCAGGAAGUUUUGAGUCUUCGUCAUUAACUAAUUUUUUAAUUUUUCAGGUUUUAUUGGAGUUGCUUUCUGGUUUACCCCCUUACGAUGAAGACAGGGAUGGUUGUGACCUGAUAACUCAUCUCCAAGACUUGGAGGUGGAGGAAAUUUUAGACAAAGCUGUCAAGUGGGAGCCUGAACGAGCAUCAGCACUGUAUGAGCUGGCGCUUAGCUGUUUGGAGAACAAAAAAGCUGCUCGACCAAACAUGGCACAAGUCCUAGACCGUCUAAAGAAAAUAAGCUGACAACGAUUAAACUUCUUUUACACCGUAUCCAUUAGUUUUCCUCUCUGCCUUUCAUAUAGUUCAUAUCUUUGUAUACUUGCCUGGUUAAAUUGUCUGUGGUGAACCAUUAAAAGUUUAAAGUUUGCGGAGCAUUCAUCAGAAGCUAAAUAAUUAUUUUGGAAUUGAAGGUAGUCAAGAUUCAGUCUAUGGUAAGUUUUUUUUCCUCUUUCUUAACAAUACAAAUUCUUAACUACAGGCUGAUUAUUGAAAUUAAUAGAUAAAAAAGACAUAGGGAGGAUGAAGCAAUCAAAUUGGUUGAAACGGGUGGUUCCUGUAUAGACAAAGGGAGGGAAUAAUGGACUAACUUCAGGGUUUUUCGUGGGUUGCCGUUAGUCUAUUACUUUACCUCCUUUGUCCAUUGCAACCACCCACUUCCACCAAUGGGAUCCCUCCAUAACCCUUUUUUCUUCUUUGUCAAUAGCUUUGUCUAUAAAUUUCAAUAAUCAGCCUUCUGAACAGUUUAGUAUCCAAUCAAAGAGAAUAAAAACUCUUCUCCUCACAGAAUUCUAUU